CCUACGGGAGGCAGCAGUGGGGAAUAUUGGGCAAUGGGCGAAAGCCUGACCCAGCAACGCCGCGUGAAGGAAGAAGGCUUUCGGGUUGUAAACUUCUUUUGACAGGGAAGAGCAGAAGACGGUACCUGUCGAAUAAGCCACGGCUAACUACGUGCCAGCAGCCGCGGUAAUACGUAGGUGGCAAGCGUUGUCCGGAUUUACUGGGUGUAAAGGGCGUGUAGCCGGGCUGACAAGUCAGAUGUGAAAUCCGGGGGCUCAACCCCCGAACUGCAUUUGAAACUGUUGGUCUUGAGUAUCGGAGAGGCAGGCGGAAUUCCUAGUGGAGCGGUGAAAUGCGUAGAUAUUAGGAGGAACACCAGUGGCGAAGGCAGCCUGCUGGACGACAACUGACGGUGAGGCGCGAAAGCGUGGGGAGCAAACAGGAUUAGAUACCCCAGUAGUC
rnacentral:rRNA from 1 species